AAAUAGAGGCGCGGCUUUCAAGAGUAGUGAGAGGGAGGUUGCCAAAACUGAGGAAAUCUCAUGAAAGGGUGGGCUGCCGAAGGGGAAUAUGAGGCGGAUAUUGUCCUGGCUGCAACGGCAAACAGCCUUGCGGCUGUCAUCACUUGUGAUGGAGUGCUAUUU
rnacentral:ncRNA from 1 species